AGACGCUGCUGCCGCCCGCGCCGCCCGCCGUGCCGCCCUCGCCCGCGCACCUCGCCGCGCUCCAGCCGCACCAAGUGCUGUGGCGUUAAACUCGAUCUGAAGACGGGCGAGCUAUCUCUACAGGCACCGACGCAACAACGGUAACACACGGACAGAUUCACAUAUAAUUAUUAUGUAUACUUACUUAUACUAUUACUAUACAGGUUUCGACCACUUAUUCGUUGGUUCCCGUUCGACGUAACUGAAAACUAUUUUGGUUGCCAAACGAAAUAGUUUUAGGUAUAUUAUAAUAAAUCUAUCGUUUGUGAAGAAUUUAAAGUAGUGUAGUGAUAUUCCAAUAUACAGUAUGUAGCCAAAAGUAAUGUAAGAUGAAGAUCGUGUAAGUACUUACGCAACAUUUCUUACUGUCUUCAAAAACGUUAUUUUUAGUAUAGGUGAAAAUGGUGUUUUUGAAUGCAGCCAUCUUUUUAACGUCUCUGUUCUUUACUGUAGCCAUUUUGAGUUCCAUAUUCUGUAAUUGGCUCUUCUCUGUCACUUUGACAGCUGUCAGUCUAUAUUUUGACAAGUUAAAAUGUCACAUAACUUUUUUAUUAUGAAUUUCGUUGUUUUUUCAUUUCGUGCCUUAUUUUGAAGCAAUCUAUGUGUUGUAGGUUAGUCUUGAGCUAAAUGCACAUUGAAAAGUCGCCGAAAAUAUCAGAAAUAACGUAGAUAAAUGUAUAAUAUUAUAGUAAUUAUAUGAAUCUUUAAAAAAAUCGAUAUCUAAAAUAUCAUCUGUUUAGUUAUAUUUGAUAUUUAAUUUAUCAAGCUUUAAUUUUUAUAUUAUUUAAGACUACUUGUUUUCAAAUGAAAUGAUAAAAAAAAUAUAAAAUAUAUGUAAUUUUUUGUAUAAAUGAAUUCAUAUAUUUUACUAAACAAAAAAAAAAUGAAAAUCGAAAAAGUGUCUUCUGAUUUGUUACUAAGUCCGUGUGUUUUUUCUAAAUGAAGUAAUUAAAUGAAAUUUAUAUGACCAAAAGGAGUGCUCGGAUCUGGGUGAUAGGCAGAUGGGUUGUCGGUCGGUGUUGUAGUCUGUGGUUACUGUGCAGGUGCGGUCUCGGUUUUUGCAUUCAAAAAACCAUACAAAUAUAAAUCUCAAUUUUUUGUCAAAAAUCUCUCAAGUAAUCCCAAUCGAAAGGAAAAAACCUGUUAUUACUUAACAGUAAAAUCUGAUUUAGACAUUUCAAUUUAUAAUAACAACUAAUACUAUGACGGUGUGAAGUAAAGCCUUCAUAAGACAAUUAGAGGCAGCUUUUUUAACCCUUUAAAUGCCAAAAAGGAGAAUGACUGAAUUUUGUCAGAAAAAUUUACGAAAAAAAUGUCAUAUCUGUGAAAACCAAAGCAUCAAUUGACCGCUUUUUGGCCGCAUCUGUACGAGCCAAUACUGUUUUGACUGUGAUGUCUUUUUGGCUUCAGCUUCAGUGUUUGCUGUCUUGGGAAUUAAAUAACUUUUUUUUAUCAAUUUUCGUACACAAAUAACAGAAAAAUAUCAUGGACGUCAAAUCUGCCUAUUCGUUCAACAAUAGAACACGGAAAUUGGUUUUUCAUUUUGCACUUCAAUUUUGGGCAAUGUCCUUGUACUUUUUUUUUAAUUUUGAACGUCUCAAAAUUUGAACUAAAAUCGUUAUUUUGACAAUUUAUCUGAACGUUAAUUUAAAUAUCUCACUACCUUCACUUUAUCUAGUCUUAUGUAUAAUACUAGUUUAUACAAGCAAACACUGGAGUCGGAGCCAGGUCGCCUCGCCGCUCGGCGGCCUUCUCAACGCUAUAGUAUUAUAGUAUAGUCGGGGACGUUAGGUAUACUAAACGUGUGCUGUCGGUUUGUCUGUCAUGUAUACUUUUUGACUACACUUUGAUCAUUGUCAUGGAAUUUUAAGGCGACGAUAGCCCAACAAUUCGAGAUUCUUCUUCUUCAGUUGUGGUGACUCUUAACAUAAGCAAAAAAUUAACGGAUCGUCCGUCCAUCAAGCAGGCAGUUGAACGCAGUCCACUGUAAAGUCCUAGUACUUCGCCCAUUUCCAGAUGUUUCAUAAAAUUACUAAGUAAUUCUUUGGACUACGUUGACGAUCUUUUUUCGUAUACGGACUUCUUCAUUAAAAUAAACAUCUAUGUGAAGUAAAUAAAAAAAAUAAGAUAUACAUGACAGACAAAUUGACGCACUGUAACUAGUUAUAUAUUAAUGAAAAAAAAAACGCGGUUGUGCGUGUGAAUGAGAGGUGCGGUGUGAGAGAGAUGGCGAAUGUUGCGUUUAUGUUAUUGUAUCAAAUAUGUAUGUAUGUAUAUUUGGAAGGGCUGUACCUUUGAUCAUGAGAUUUUUUUUUGCAAAAAAGGAGUAUAGAACAUUAAAAAUGUUACUGAAGUAUUAUUAAAUCGCAAAUUUUGGACGUGUGUUAAAAAUGAAAUUAUACAGACAUACGUUACUAUCAAUAUUCCAUAUUAAUAUUACCUUCUAAGAUCAUAUUUUUUAAUAUUUUCAAAAGCGAUAAGGUAAAGAAACUUUUUUUAAAACAAUAGCAUUCACUAGUGAAAUAAAAAAAUAGUCAUCUGUUUUAAAACAAAGGUAAUUUUUGUUGCAAAGUAGUUUUAUUUCGAUAUUUUCUUCGUGGUUAAGAAAUAAACUAUUUUUAAUGCGUUGCUUUAAAUAUGUAUAUUUUAAAUGGGGGCAUUUUAUUUAAAGCCAGUUAAAACUGCGUACUAUUUUGUAUAAAAAUGUAGAUUUACAAAAGAAAAUGUAAAAAAAAAUUUUUUGUUUAAAAAUCGCCCCGAUUUUUUUGAAGUGAUGAUCAAAGAGUGAAAAGGAACGAUGGGAGUGUUUAGUAUGUCUGAAAGAGAUGAAUAUAUACGAAUCUCGUGUUAGAAAUGUAGAUUUGGAGCUGCCUUGUGUCGACCAGUUAUUUGACUUUAGGCUGGCUGUCCACUGUCAGAACUGUUAAAAUAAAACUAACUUUUAACUCUCUUUGUAAAGUAUGUCGCUGGCACAACCGACAAAAAAUAAUCUCAAUCAAUUUCGAACUGUAUUUCGGAGAGAUUAAAUUCAAAAUUUAUUUGGCAAAAAUUAUCAUUCUGUGGUGAAAUACUGACAACCGUAUAUUUUGAACUUUUUUGUCCUUUUAUUAUGGUCGAAAAUCGAUGAACGAUUAAACUUGCCUUGCCUGAUGAAGUUUAAAAUUACCUAAGCGGUUUUGGCACACCACCAGAUUUCAUUAUUUUGUCUAUCUUUUCUUUCUUAGUGGAAGAAGAGAGAAAUACACCUUUUCCCAUAUCUGAAUUGUCGAAAAUGUAGGUUUUGUUUGUUUUUUGCGCAAAAUAAACAAAUUUAAUUUCAAAGAGUGGUACAAUUGUAUAUUUUCCUAGUCACUUUCUUAUAUUUGUUUCUAAUUUAAAAGUUAUAUUAAAUCUGGACAGUCGGCCAUAGAUUUCUAAAAACUAUGAAUAUUAUAUUCGGCGCCAUUUUUACCUCUUUAUUUUAGAGGUCUAGAGAAAGGCUCUAUUAUAUUAUCAUUAUUUGGCCGACCUUUUGAACUAUUAAAUGGCAACUAUUUUUAAAAUAAAAUGAGAAGUAUGCACUGACACAACUAGUGACGCCAUUUUGAAAUAAAAACCAAUUGAAAAUGGCGUCUUGAAACCUGCUAACGGGAAUACAUACAUCAUACACAGAAUCAAUAAAAAUAAAAACAAUAAAGCACCGAUGUUCUAUUUUUCGUGUUACCUAUAUCAAUUUUCAUAUGACAUUGGCCUCAACCUCAGAGGUUUGAUUGCCAUUAAAAAAAAAGAAGAAAUUCGACAGGGCAGUCUAAAAUCUUUAUUAAUAUACACCACCCUUUACUUGUCUUUAUAUCUGAACUAUAGUUAAAAGGUCGGCCAUUUUGUUACAUUGGGUCGUCCGCCAAACACGUUCGAACUGUUGUCCUCAAAAACAAUAUUACUGUUUACACCUGAUAGUUAUGAAAUGCUAAUGUGUGUACGAUCGUUCGCCGUUCGUUCGUUCGCCCGACCCAGUGUAACGCAGCCUUUAGGUCUUUACUAGUUUAUAUUAAAGUUUUUGAUUAUAUUGCAUUUUGUUGUGCGAAUCAUGUUGGUGAGUGCGGCGACCUUUUGGUUCACGUUUCGCUCGGUGCCUCGCGUCUGCAUUUGACAGUGGCAUUUUAAGCAUGCUCUAUGAAAUAAUUUAGCCACGACCUCUAUGUGACACCUAAGAGUAGUUUUCAUCUUAAAAUCAUAUGACAAGUUUUUCUUUGGUAGUUUUUCAUCUUUAAAAGUACUUGCUUGUCUUAUUCUCCUUAACAACUUUUUAAAUGCAUGGUGCCUGUUUUGGCAUAGGUUAUGGCAACACUAGACUCUCUACCAAGUUAGACAUUUUUUUUAAAUAAGUAUCAUCAGGCACACUUCAAGAAAAUCUACAUUUCGUUAAGAUUGACAGACGUACCUCUUAAUUACCAGUGAUACCACCUCAGGAGUCUAUGACCUUAUGACUGAGUAAAUAAAAUCAAUUUCUGCCUGACUACACCAGAAGGAGCCUUUAUAAAAACCUUUGAAAACCAUGUCAAACUUUGAACUUGCUCAGCUCCUGCAAUAAGUGUCCAAUUGCAUUUCUCCCAAAAGCAUGCUCUUGCCAAAAGUAAUGUCACUGUCACGACGCGAUACACUCGUUAAUUUCGUAGUAUCCCGCGAGGUGAAGGGACCAUAGAUUUGAUUUCGUCAUAGUUUCAAGUAGCUAUGGAAGUGAGUCGGAAUGUAUGGUUUUUGUAUGUUUUUCUUGUUUGUUUUAUAAGCGGAAUUGUUUCAACUGGAUUUUGGCUGAAGUUUUAUACAUCGUGAAGUAAAGACCGGAAUUAUUAAGUGUUAUUUUUGUAAAAAUCAAAACCACCUAAUUGGUAGUAUAUAAAUGAGUUGCUGUCCAUUCAGAAGCAAUAUUUUGUUGCCAGAACUAAAAAUUUUAUAUAAUAAUGACUUUUUUACCCAAAUAACACUUAUGGCAUUUCGAUUUUGUAGCCGAUAUAUCUUGUGAAGAUGAUUUUUGUAAAUGAAAUUUAUUUAUGUGAUAAAACUAGAUUUACUAUGAAGAAAUUCGCUCUUUCGGAAGCUUGUUUGGCAGUUUUAUUACUGUAAUAAAUUUUAUUUUAACAUCUUUCUUCAGACAGUUCUGUAGUAAUAUCUGACUCAAAAAUAGUCAAGAACUUGUAUCAAUCUACAAUGUGUCAUUAUCAACAGUUUCCUAAGUUCUUCUAGAAAGAUCUGAUAAAUAUUUCUCAUUUAGUGAUAAACAUAAGUAAAUGUAUCCAUUAAGAAUAACUUGAAAACUUAAUUUGUAGUAGAAACUAUCCCUUAUGAGACUUGCAAGAAAAAUCGCGUUGUGACGCAGACGAGCGUUUUUAAAGCUGAUAAACGCCCGUCUGCUCGAUGACAGACGCAAUACCUCAAAGAAUCUCGUAUUUUCCAUAUUUUAGAUUUAACUGCCAUUUUAUUGUGAGUUAUUUGCAUGCGACAAAAAAACUUGUAAAGUCGGGGCUUGAUUGCGAGCGGGGAACCUCACUAAUGAGUAUUUCUCCUCCUUUUCUUACUUGUAGGGAUCGACCGAGAGGCCAACAGGCAGCUGUGGAAUAUCUAGCAACUAUCUUUAUCACUAUGUAUGGUUUAGAAAAGGAUAGCUGGUAUUUUUAAGUGUUACUUAUUUUAUACCAUUUAUAAAUUACGUCACGUAUUUAGUGAGUAUGACAGACUGUGUAUUUUACACCAAAAUACACGAGCAAAACAUGACAAGUGAGAUCUCAAGCCAGGAUUUAGUGGCGUUUUUUAUGAAUGGUAUAAUGUUUUUUAUUUUUGGUAUUUAUAAACUGAUAAUGGAGUUAGGCGCUUAAAAAUAUCCCUAUCCUUUUCAUUUUCUGUGUGUUUGUAAAAGACAGCAUGCUAUUUGUACUGACUUGACUAUUAAUCGCUGUCAAAAAUGUCAAAGAUGCAGAUAUUUUUUCCAACCCUUGCUCGCAAUCAAAACUCGACUUUACCAACUAAACAACAGAGUUUGAAAUAAAAUCGCAUUGUACAAAUCGUGAAAUAUUUUCCUAACUGCAAUAAUCGAUGUCUACAUAGUUUUAACGUCGUGCAUAUCUCAAAUGAACGUUGCAUGUAACGUGUAAGCGCUCGCUGAUCGACACUAGUCUGACAGUUAGUGACAGUUGAAUUUUCACCAAAAUUAUAAUAAAAAAGUCAUGUGUAAGUUUCAAACCAGUGAUUUUAAUACCAGUAGUAUCUUUAAAUCAUUUUACAAUCUUCAUUUGAAGUAACAUGAAAUAAACUGUCACUAAAAUUUUGGCUCUUACUCCAAAAAACCUCCAGUAAAAAGGAUCUUUGUACUAUUUUAAAGUGUCGCUCAGUGAAUGCGUAUAGUGCCCUGGUUGUUUAGGAACCCAACCAAUCCGUUUACGCUUACAAACUACAAUUUUUAUGUCAUAAAUUGAUAAACUUUCAUUUUUACUGACCGUAGAUGUAUAUUAUCUGUGGUUUAAAUGGCAGCGUUCUAAAAUCUGGAUUGUAGUUUUCAGAGUCAACCCUCUAUAAGGCACAUGUGGUUUCAUCCUUAAGAUAAGUGAGGAAGGUUUGGAUUCUAGUGGCAAUAUAUAAAUAAAAGUGUAAACGCAUAGGUAAGGUUUUUGACUAAAACUGUCCAGGGACAGGACAAGAUAUUGUAAGUGUAAGUGGUAUUGCUCAAAGGUGCAAAUCAAGCGACUUGAGUCACGUGCAAUAUAUAGCAUAAUUAUUAUUUUGUUUCCAAUAAAAAUAUUAAAAUCGACACAA